ACCUGGCUGGCUCAGUGGGUACAGCAUAUGACUCUUAAUCUUCUGAUCAUGAGUUUGAGUCCCAUGUUAGAUG
rnacentral:tRNA from 1 species